rnacentral:rRNA from 1 species
UACAGAGGUCUCAAGCGUUGUUCGGAUUCAUUGGGCGUAAAGGGCGCGUAGGCGGCAAUUCAAGUCAUCUGUGAAAUCUCCGGGCUUAACUCGGAACGGUCAGAUGAUACUGCUUUGCUCGAGUGCGGAAGGGGCAAUCGGAAUUCUUGGUGUAGCGGUGAAAUGCGUAGAUAUCAAGAGGAACACCUGAGGUGAAGACGGGUUGCUGGGCCGACACUGACGCUGAAGCGCGAAAGCCAGGGGAGCAAACGGG